rnacentral:rRNA from 1 species
AGUCGAGCGGUAAGGCCACUUCGGUGGUACACGAGCGGCGAACGGGUGAGUAACACGUGAGCAACCUGCCCUUCUCUUUGGAAUAAGCGUUGGAAACGACGUCUAAUGCCGAAUAUGACCUCUUUUCGCAUGAUUUGAGGUGGAAAGCUCCGGCGGAGAGGGAUGGGCUCGCGGCCUAUCAGCUAGUUGGUGUGGGUAAUGGCCCACCAAGGCGACGACGGGUAGCCGGCCUGAGAGGGUGACCGGCCACACUGG